ACAAUGAUACUUGCGUUAGCCAUACGUCACAGAAUGGAACGCCCCGCCAUCAGCAUGGAGGGAGGUGCAACGCCUAUGG
rfam:Firmicutes bacterium CAG:170 genomic scaffold, scf148